UUAAAAGGAAAAAAAACCAAAAGAAUAUGUUUACCCUCAACCUACUGGAGAAUGUUAGUCCCGCAGAAACCCACAGAGGCAACUCUCCACCGCUGCUACGCAUCUGCACCAUCUGCACCAUCUGCACCACCGAUACUCAUCUGCCCACCGCUGCUUCUGACUGCUUGCCAACCUCCGGUGGGCAAAAACUUCCAAAUCUGAGGUGAAGUUGAUGAUGGUUGAUUGCGGCUAACCCUAGAAAUUCUUGGGUAAUUUCUUUGUAUUCUGUUCAUCACUUCUAAAUUUUGUCAAGAAAUUCGAUUACUUGUUUAGUUUAUUAUUUUUCUUUGUCCUGGGGUGAAUUUGUUUCCCCAUUCGUAUCAUGUUCUUAGUCCAGGGUUUGUUCAAUUAGACAUUUUUUUGGGGUUUUAGGGUUUAUAUUUAAUUGGUUUUUUGAAUUUAGAGGAUCAAUUAUGACUUUAUUGAAGUUUCAAAAUUUUAAUUUUGAAUACUAUUUUUUCUCUUUUUUAAUGGCAUUAAAUAUCAGAUUGAAUUACAGAGUGUUUUGCAUCAACUCUUCUUCAUCUCCUUUUGUGCCUUGAAGUCUCAUAGUUGUUUGGAUGGUAUAGAAGAUUAGUUAUAAGGAUUUGGUCUGCUUUUUUUAUCCCUUCCUUUCCUAUGGGUGUAAACCAUGAGUCUCAAAGUUAAUAAGUCAUAGAACAAAAUCAUAGACCAAAAUAAUUAAGCUAGUAAUUCAAGUGGCCUGACCUCAAACCAAGUUACACUUUGUAAUUAAUUUAGACCUUCAAUAACUGAAUGUUAUUUCUCUUUUGUUGUCACCUUUCAGUCAGUUUCAUCUUAUAGCAGGCCUCUUGAUUAAAGUUAAUACUCUUGGAUAGUGAUUUUAUAUUGACUACAGAAUCAUUUGAUUUAGUUUUUUGUGCUGGGAGAUAUACACUUCUCUAUAAGUUGGAGAUGCUAUUGUUGACGAGCUGAUGUGUUUUGUUCUCUUUGAUUUCCCGUUCUUUGUUUCUUGGAUGAUGUUCCUAUGAUUGUAUGUAUGUUUAGGAUAUAUUAUAACUUCAUUCUGCCUAAAAUAAGCCUAGAUUUGAAUAAUCUAUUACAAGUUUGGAAAAAUCUUUGCUUAUUUGGAUUUAUUCGGGGUAUUCUGAGAAUUGAUCUAGCUAAGGACCUCUGUACCCAAGGCGAGAAAGCCGAGAAUCAUACCUCGGCUAAAUGUAAUAUUUUUUCUGCUUAUAGGCACUGAAAUCUUGAUCAUUUGUUAUUGGAUAUUCCUGGACAUACUCGCAGUACUUGGUUUAUUAUGUUGCUAGAUACAGUGGAUGGACUCCAAAAUUCUUGCUCUGUUGUUACCUCUAAGUUGACAGGGCAUGCGUUAAUGUGCACUGACACUUGGUGCCACGUGGGCACUGGCCAGUGUGCCCACUCACCUGUUAGAUUUCCUAAUUGUCAUCAUAAGCCCAUUCAGGUUAGUAUUAUUAGACGAUCGGGCGGAUUCGGAGUUUGCUCAUCAUAAGCCCAUUCAGGUUAGUUGCCUUAGCUGUCUGUUAUUUAUUGAAAGGAAAUUCUAAUUGUUAUUUGUUACUGGGAAAAACACUUUGGCCGUGCCCUACUUCCCAUGUCGAUAAUAUGUGAUGACUGAUGAGGAUAUUGUUACAAAAUAACCAAGUAUUAAAUAUUCAAAUCAACAAAACUGAACAAUAUUCAGAUCAACCUUUCAUAUGUUUAUGAUCUAUACUUUCUUGUGUAAGUUAAUGAUGUUUACUUUGAAAUUACCAAGUACUGCUAUUGAUGAAAAAUCUUUCGGCCCAUUUUCUUAGCCCUGAAUUUGAGGAAUAUGUAAAUGCAUUUUGUCAAACAUUAGUUAAUUUUCAUUGUGGUACUAUAUCGCCUGUAUGGCAUGGUCUUUGCAAUUUCAGUUCUGGUGAUGUUGUCAGCCUACAUUGCACAUGAAUUAUCUAGUAUUUACAUGAUCCAAACUAAUACUUUGCUAUUAAAAUCUUAAAUGACUUACUUCGUUUUUGUGUGCUUUUUUUUGAAACAGAACCUUGGUGGCUUUUAUGUUCCAUUGAUGACAAGCUUGGCUGUGAUGUAUUACAAAUUUCAGGGAAUUGCAGAGUGCAAGAUGAAGUUCCUCCAAUGGCGCGAACACUAACUUUUUGCUGCUCCUACUGAUGUGCAUGCUCAUUCAAGAACACCACAAGCUGCAUUUUUUUCUUGAUUAAUGAACCUGUACGAAGAAUAGAGUAAAUGCAUAGGAUUAAUUGGAAAACGUACGUUAUUUUUUAAUAUAUUUAAUGCUUGUUUAUGCAAAAAAAAAUUAUAUAUUUUUUUUAAAAAAAAGGGUGGAAUAGAGGACGGUUA